rnacentral:misc_RNA from 1 species
CAACCCCUCAAGCACUGCUUGGUGUUAGGGCCCUACGCGGACAGCGUACGCCCCCAAGACUAGUGGCGGGCCCUCUCGUGGCACCGAGCGUAGUAAAUACUCGUCGCUCUGGUAGAUCGGAGGGUUCCGGCCGUUAAACCCCCAAAAUUCUGAA